rnacentral:tRNA from 1 species
GUGGGCACGUGGCUCAGUGGUAGAGUGUCUGCCUAGCAUGCACAAGACCCUGGGUUCGAUCCCUAGCACCACA